rnacentral:lncRNA from 1 species
GUUUUCUUUUCACUAUUGCUUAGUCUCCUCUCUGACUUGACCGUCGGAGGGUCUCCGUCGGAGCCGCUUCCGAUCAAUGUGGACUUUCUUUUGCAGGCGCUCGUUCUCGAUGACCAGACGACGAGGAAAUUGACCUCAACACUACUGCAUAUGUGUUGUUUAUGAUUAUAAAACCUAAUCAAAUGAGGACAGCACUGCUACACCGACACACACGUCGUGCUAGACCCCUACAUUGUUGCUCCAACUUCCGCUAUCUUGGG